rnacentral:rRNA from 1 species
UACGUAGGGUGCAAGCGUUGUCCGGAAUUAUUGGGCGUAAAGAGCUCGUAGGCGGUUUGUUGCGUCGGCUGUGAAAUCCCGAGGCUCAACCUCGGGUCUGCAGUCGAUACGAGCAAACUAGAGUGUUGCAGGGGAGACUGGAAUUCCUGGUGUAGCGGUGAAAUGCGCAGAUAUCAGGAGGAACACCGGUGGCGAAGGCGGUUCUCUGGGCCGAUACUGACGUGGAGGAGCGAAAGCGUGGGGAGCAAACAGG